GCGCUGAAUCUCUCGGUCUUAGGCCGCUGAGAACUGUAGCGUAUAGGUGUGACUGUCCUGCUAUAUUGCAUUUCCGAAGUCUCUUUGAUAGGGGCCAACAUCCAGAGAGGGUGCGAGACCUGUACGGAAAGUAGUAUAGUUGGUAUGGUUACUCCUUGGAGUCGGGUUGCUUGAAAGUGCAGCCUAAAGUUGGUGAUAAACUUCAUCUAAGGCUAAAUAUCGACGCGAAAUCGAUAGCAAACAAGUACCGUGAGGGAAAGUUGCAAAGAACUUUGAAGAGAGAGUUCAAGAGAACGUGAAAUCGCUGAAGUGGAACCGGAGAGAGUUAACAUAACUUGGUAGCUAUAUCCUCUAAAGUCGCUUAACUGUGGCUCUGGGGGGUGGACGCUACCUGUUGUUGCACUGACUGCGUUGAUUGUGCUUUCCGAACAGUAUAGUGUUGCCCACUUUGUGGUGUCUUGCUUUCUGGGAGGUUUGUCAUAAUUAACGUAAAGCCAAUUCCCUUUGGAGUCAGUGUGAAAGUUAACCACCUUUCCGACCCGUCUUGAAACACGGACCGAGGAGUGUAAUUUAUACGCGAGUCAAGGGGUGGUGAAAACCCUAGGGGCGGAAUGAAAGUAAAGGCCGGUUAACCGGUUGACAUGGGAUCCGCUCUUCGGAGCGGCGCACCAUGGCCCUGUCUUGUCUGCUUGCAGAUGGGCAGCGGUAGAGCGUAUAGUUUGCGACCCGAAAGAUGGUGAACUAUGCUUGAGCAGGACGAAGCCAGAGGAAACUCUGGUGGAAGUCCGUAUCGGUU
rnacentral:rRNA from 1 species